rnacentral:snRNA from 11 species
AAAUGUGAGGACAAUCUGGCUGUGAUAUCUUUCACCCCAUUGAUUACCAGGGCUGAUUCAACUGAUCUGUCUGGCCAAGCAUGUGUCCCUUCUUCCCUCACCACUCCAUGUGUUUUCCUCCCAAAAUGGCAAGCCCAGUGGAAGAAGACAACCAGCAAGAACAGUGGUUCUCAACUUUCCUAAUGUCAUGACCGCUUAAUACAGUUUCUUAUGUUGUGGUGACCCCAACAAUAA